rnacentral:misc_RNA from 1 species
AUAUUCAUGCAGCACUGACAAUAAGAAAAAAAAGAAAUGAGCUAAUAUUAAGACGGGUUAGCUCCAUUUCCCCAUACUACCAACAGCAUACUUCAACAGUGAAUUUAGUGGUAAAACAAAAUGACCAUUCAGCAAUAAGGAAUCGAGUCUUUACACUUGAGUAGGUGUCUUCUAGUAAGCCUCCAGCCUUACAGAAUAAAACUAAAAACUGCUAGCAGACUCACAAUAUAAAAAAAAUAAAUAAAUAA